rnacentral:rRNA from 1 species
AGAAAAGCUUGUAUCGGAUUAGUUAGUUGUUAAAGUAAAGGUUUAACAAGACUAUGAUCCGUAGUUGAUCUUAGAGGAUGAACAACCACAUUGGGACUGAGACACGGCCCAAACUUUUAAGGAAGGCAGCAGUGGGGAAUAUUGGACAAUGAGCGAUAGCUUGAUCCAGCUAUGUCGCGUGUGUGAAGAAGGCCUUAGGGUUGUAAAACACUUUCAACAAUGAAAGAAGGAAUUAAAAUUUAAUAAAUUUUUUUUUUUGACGAUAUUUGUAAAAGAAGCACCGGCUAACUUCGUGCCAGCAGCCGCGGUAAUACGAGGGGUGCAAGCGUUAAUCGAAAUUAUUGGGCGUAAAGGGUGUGUA